rnacentral:lncRNA from 1 species
CUUCUUAGGGCUGCACCUGCAGCCUAUGGAAGUUCCCAGGCUAAGGGUCACAUCAGAGCUGAAGCCGCCGGUCUACACCACAGCCACAGCAAUGAGGGAUCCAAGCCUCAUCUGCCACCUACACCGCAGGCCACGGCAACGCUGGAUCCUUAACCCACUGAGCGAGAACAGGGAUGGAACCUGCAUCCUCAUGGAUACUCGUCAGGUUCGUUACCAAUGAGCUGCAUCGGGAACUCCCGAGAGCGCUAUUUUUCAUGCUCACAUUUUUGCUGUCAGCAAACCAAGUCAUGACCAGUCAAUUCCAGACCAGUCCCACAGCCUGGGUCAACUUCCUCUUAACCUGCUGGACAGGAGUGAGUGCUAUUUUUUUUUUUUCCUCUCGGUUUUAUGUUAGCAUGUUAAUGAGGCGCAGGGAAGACCUAAGGAAAUUCAAGCCAUCCAUCCUCACGCGACACACCCCGAAGCCAAAGCCGGGGUGGGCACGGAAAACUGGAAACAUCGUGUGUGUGUGUGUGUGUGUGUGUGUGUGUGUGUGUGUGUGUGUGUGUGUCUCACACCCUGAUGGUAGCAGGGGUGAGUGGGGAAACUACAUCCUGGGCUACAAAAAUGAAGAUAUGAUUGGUGUCACCCACUGGACCGAGAACCUGACAAUUUUUAGGGACUUUGGGACGCUUUGUUUCCAAGAGGCUUGCUUGUCAGAGGGGAAAACCCAGGUCAUGCAUUUUCCUGCAGUGCACAGGGACUGUGAUGCAAGCAGGUGCCUUGCUGCCCUGCAGUCCCUGUGUUUUCAGCCAAGCCUAACGGUGAUCCUCUAAUCGGUGGAGGGGUGGGGGAGAGAAUUUCCACGGGGGCCCUGCCUCUGACUCUUCUGAUGCUAUUCACGGUCAUGAAUUGCAAAUCACUUUACAAAAUUACUUCUCUCAAAAUACCCAGACACCUGGCCACAGGCUGCGAACCUUAUGCUAAAUUGGGCACCUUGAUCAAGCUCAUCCUGUGACUUCGACCACGCGGCUGCCUUUGACCACAGCCACCGAUAUCUCUGCCAAGAGAAACAGGAACGACUCUGGGAACCGAGUACGAACUUGGGAUGGGUCCAAACUUUUCCAAAGUGAUGCCUCUGCCGCUGGCAAGAUCCCACGGCCAGGACAUUUUUCUCCACAUGUCAGCUCUGUGUAAUGAGAGCAAUUAGAAGCACCUCAGAUGUGCCCAGAACUCUGUCUGCCUAAUAUGGGCAUAAUCAUUAACUCCCUCCCUGAAAUGCAAGCACUGGCUCAUGGCUGAGGAUUCACCUUUAACGUUGUGCAAAGCAAAAGGUCAAACCUUUUGUAAAGCGGUUGAACAAUGUGUAUCAAAGAGUCAUGACAAGGUCUGUUCCUUUUGACACAGUCAUUUGCAAGAUGCGGGACUCUUAUCUUCAGAAGUGAUCCGAUGUUCAGAACCAAACCUGAGUCAAUCUAAACGCCCAGGAGUAGCCCAUGUGCUCAUCAUGAUACAUCUUCCUGGUGAAACGGUACAGAGCUGUUAACAGGAAGUGUGAAGUGUGUCACAAAACAGGGGAAGGGCUGAGGUCAUUGUCACAGUCAGACACGGGGACAUGGAAGCCCCUUGGCUCAGGUCCCCAGUUGAGCAGGGAUGGGGGUGGGGGGGCAGUCUAUAUCUAGAGAGGACGCAGUUGGGGGAAAUCAGUGGGUCCCCCUCCACCCCCUUCGGCCACCUCCUAUUCCAGAGGAAGCAAGUAAGCCCCUCCCAGAUGAGACUUUGGAUACUGGACCCAAAGGCAGAAGAGCACACCGCUGCUGGGAGACCACUGUUCUGUUGUUUGUUUUUCUUGGACCCACCCACAGCUCUCUGCAGAUGGAUGGGGCUGUGAGGGUGGCCCCCAAAAGGGGCUAAUCAUCCCCCAUUGUCCUGCGCAGGACCAAGUCUUAACAUCGACGACACAGGCGUCCACACGGCCAGGAGUGUUUUCACGCGAAAGGGGACAGAGUGUGUAUUUGUCAUAAGGAGCAUUAAAAAGGGGACAGGAAUCCUAGUUCUAGAGAAUCUGUGGCAUUGUGUUGAGGUCCAAACGUUCCCAAGAACUCAGAAACCUGUCUAGAGAAGAACUGCUGUUGCAAAGCUAAUGCUUAGUGACCUCGGACAUGGUCAUCUUGGUGUGUCCGGGAAAAAGAAGAAAUGAAAACAGCCCCCAUUUUCACGACUGAUAUAUGUGAAUUAAACUGUUUCUAAUGCAUGCUUUUUUGUUUGUUUGUUUUUUUUAGGACCGCACCCGCAGCAUGUGGAGGUUUCCAGGCUAGGGGUCUAAUCGGAGCUGUAGCUGCCAGCCUACACCACAGCCACAGCAACGGCAGAUCCUUAACCCACUGAGAAAGGCCAGGGACCGAACCUGAAACCUCAUGGGUCCUAGUUGGAUUCUUUUCCACUGCGCCAUGACAGGAACUCCUCUAAUGAAUGCUUUUGUAGAUAAUUCCUUUUUUUUUGCUUUUUAGGGCUGCCCGCUUGGGAUAUGGAGUUUCCCAGGCUCGGGGUCGAGUCAGAGCUGCAGCCGAUGGUCUACACCACAGCCACAGCAACAAGGGAUUUGAGCCUCGAGCUGCGCCUGUGAUCUACACCACAGCUCACAGCAACACCGGAUCUUUAACCCAAUGAGCAAGGCCAGGGAUGGGACCUGCAUCCUCACGGAUCCCAGUCGGGUUAGAUCUGUUCUUCUUGAUCAAGCUCUUCCCAAACCAUCACACCUAUGUUGCUCCAAAACUGUUGUGACCUUGGGUCAAGGAGACACUGGCGAGGCUGCUCAGCAGAAAAUGUGCCUCUCACACUAAAACAGCCACUUGAGCAAGAAUGUGGAAAUGAUUUAUCUCAUGGUGUUUAGAGCUGGAUCUUUCCUCCAGCGGGGUCAGGACCAUAGAUCCGUCGGGGACAAGGGUUAUAUGCUCCUCAAGGAGGAAGAGUGAGCUAAUGGCCAAGUGGUGAGUAUGUAACAAACUGAAAUCACCCUAAUCAAAGCGAAGGUACACACAGCCCAAAGAAUACAGCCACUGACAGUGGAAAGUUUUAAGUGCUAAGAGCAGCAGGACAGGAGUUCCCAUCAUAGCUCAAUGGUUAACAAAUCCGACUAGGAACUAUGAGGUUGCAGGUUCGAUCCCUGCACUUGCUCAGUGGGUUAAGGAUCCAGUGUUGCCAUGAGCUGUGGUGUAGGUUGCAGACGCGGCUCGGAUCCAGCGGUGCUAUGGCUCUGGCAUAGGCCAGCGGCUAUAGCUCCGAUUUGACCCCUAAACUGGGAACCUCCAUAUGCCUCAGGAGCAGCCCCAGAAAAGGCAAAAGGCAAAAGGGGGCAAAAAGCAAAAGGCAAAAAAAAAAAAAAAAAAAAAAAGAGCAGCAGGACAUAAGGUAUGUUUAUUUACAUCAUGUAAAGAUUGUCUUCUGGAGUUCCUGUCGUGGCUCAGUGGUUAACGAAUCUGACUAGGAACCAUGUGGUUGCAGGUUUGAUCCCUGGCCUCCGCUCAGUGGGUUAAGGAUCCGAGUUGCCGUGAGCUGUGGUGUAGGUCAUAGACGUGGCUCAGGUCCCAAGAUGCUGCGGCUGUGGUGUAGGCUGGCAGCUGUAGCUCCGAUUAGACCCCUAGCAUGGGAACCUCCAUCUGCCAUGGCAUAUGGAAGAUCCCAGGCUAGGGGUUGAAUCGGAGCUGCAUCUGCCAGUCUCUAUCACAGCCACAGCAGCAUGGGACCUGAGCCGUGUCUAUGUCGACACCCCAGCUUGCGGCAACACUGGAUCCUUAACCCCCUGAGUGGGACCAGGGAUCGAACCUGAAUGCUCAUGGAUACCAGUCGGGUUCAUUUCCGCGGAGCCACAGAGGGAACUCCUCAUAAAACCGAUUAAAUACACAUUCCGUCCAGAAACCAGCUUUAGAGAUGCUAGCUCUACACUCUGAUGGCAGCAGCAUUUCCUGCUCUGUCCACCACUGUAGUACCAGGACCACAAACUGUGCCUGGCAGGUACCAGUAUGUCUUGUUGAAUGGCAAAACAAACGAACAAGCAAAAAACCAUCUGUGUAAGUUGGGGAAAAUUCUUGCUUUUCCAGUCAGGGAAGCUUCACUUCCUUACGGAUCAACCUGCUAAGUGGUACAUCUCUAGGUCAGAAUCCAUUUCACAGAAGGAAGAUGAAAGAAAAACACGGAGGAGUGAGCCCUCCAGGGGAGGCUGGGUUCGGACCCAACACCCACCUGAGCUCCGGCCCUCCCAGCGGCACUGAACUUGACACAGACCACACCUUGAUACACAUCCACACUCUAUGCUGAACGUGCUACAUUUUUCUACCCUCUAAAGGACCGAGGUCUAUGCAAGGAUAUGAAAUAAAUGUAAUAGGAAGAAAUAAAGUGUGAAACAGCCAGGCUGCGAAUCAGAAGUGGUUCUCUUUCAAGAUGGACAGAGGGAAUCACAGAAUAAAAAGGCAGAACAGCGAUGGCAGAGGCAGCAGCAGGGGCCCCUCAGCAAACCUCACCACAGGUGACUUAGAUCCCAAAGGGAGGCACAGGGCUUUCCAGGGUCACCAUGGAAUCGGAACCAUCUAGCCAAGGGAGAGAGGAAAAGAAAACCCACAAAGAGACUACACAACAAACAGCUUUUUUCAACUGCCUUACUAUUUGUUUGUGGCUUCUAGUUACUAGAAGUUGGCCAAGAGUGGCUGUGGGCUUUGGCAUAUAUCAUCUUUAAAACAGCGUGCUGAGAUUUCCUAGAAAGGUUUUUUUUUUUCUUUCUUUUUUUUUUUUUUUAAGUGGUCUUUUUAAGGCUGCAUCUGUAGCAUAUGGAGGUUCCCAUACUAGGGGUCGAAUCAGGCUACAACUGCCAGUCUACACCACAGCCACAGCAACAUCAGAUCUGAGCCACGGCUGCGACCUACACCACAGCUCACGGCAACGCCGGAUCCUUAACCCACU